rnacentral:rRNA from 1 species
CAGGCCUAACACAUGCAAGUCGAGCGGAAACGAGUUAUCUGAACCUUCGGGGAACGAUAACGGCGUCGAGCGGCGGACGGGUGAGUAAUGCCUAGGAAAUUGCCCUGAUGUGGGGGAUAACCAUUGGAAACGAUGGCUAAUACCGCAUAAUACCUACGGGUCAAAGAGGGGGACCUUCGGGCCUCUCGCGUCAGGAUAUGCCUAGGUGGGAUUAGCUAGUUGGUGAGGUAAUGGCUCACCAAGGCGACGAUCCCUAGCUGGUCUGAGAGGAUGAUCAGCCACACUGGAACUGAGACACGGUCCAGACUCCUACGGGAGGCAGCAGUGGGGAAUAUUGCACAAUGGGCGCAAGCCUGAUGCAGCCAUGCCGCGUGUGUGAAGAAGGCCUUCGGGUUGUAAAGCACUUUCAGUCGUGAGGAAGGUAGUGUAGUUAAUAGCUGCAUUAUUUGACGUUAGCGACAGAAGAAGCACCGGCUAACUCCGUGCCAGCAGCCGCGGUAAUACGGAGGGUGCGAGCGUUAAUCGGA